rnacentral:pre_miRNA from 1 species
CGGGGGAGGCCGGAUCCUGGGCUGUGUCCCGGCGCCCUGUGCCCCGGGGCCUGCACCGCUGGAUUCGCGCUCCCGCCCCGCAGCCCCCU